rnacentral:rRNA from 1 species
AUUUCGUUUGAUUUGCUUUGUCCUCGUCCUCUGCACAUGAUGCUAACUUGGAUUUUUCUUGGGCAGGUGCCUUUCUCUCUUGAGGACCCAGAUUACAAGGGUCUUGAGCUAGAUCUGAUAGUGCUGUGCGAGAAGCAUGGGAAGCCAUCAGAGAGGCUUGUUGCAUUUGAAGGAACAAUGACUGGGAGAAGGUUCUUAACAUGUGCAGAGCCGGAAGGUCAGAAUUGUGGGUUUGUUUAGUGGGUUGAUGAGCAGUGGCCCCCAACAAUGGAGAAUGCAUUGCUGAAGCUUUGGUCAAUGGUUGAAGAGAGCAAGUCUGCUAGGGUGAAUGAUAAUCUUGAAAGUGCUUUAACUAUUCACCAUUUGACAGAAGAAAAGAAGAAGCUGGAUGCAGACUAUGACAAGUUAGUGAAAGAUGUGCAUCAACUUGUGGACUUUCAGCAGGAUAGGGUUGUGGAUUUCAGUUAUCUGCAGUCCGCUGUCACAUAUCAACACCAAUGCAGAUCUGAAUUGGUGGCUGGUAUGAAUGCAGAAAUGGCAAAGAAAGAUGCAGCUACAGAGAAGCUUCAACAGAAGUAUGAACUCCUGUGCAACCUGACAAAUGCUCAAGCAACUGUCAUCCAAAACCUGAAGUUGAAGAAUAUGAAAGAGAAGGAAUUGAUGAGUGAGGCUAGGAUGAAUUUGGAGUUGAAGAAUGCAGAGUUCACAAAGUUUGAGGAGAAGCUCACCCAAGAGAAGCUAGAGUUGAAUUUCCAGGUUGCUGGUCUGCUGAAGCUCAAGGAAAACCAUAAUGAAGAGAAGCAGAUGUAA